rnacentral:tRNA from 1 species
CGAGACACUGCGCGGCGGCCGCGCCCGCGCGCGCCAUCAGCGUGUGCGGCGGCAGCGCGGCGGCUGCGCGCGCUUCGAGCGUGCGCAGCUCGGC